rnacentral:siRNA from 1 species
UAUCUGGUUCAUAUGAAUAACAUC